rnacentral:rRNA from 1 species
UACGGGGGGCAAGCGUUGUUCGGAAUUACUGGGCGUAAAGGGUUCGUAGGUGGCCCGCUAAGUCAGACGUGAAAUCCCUCAGCUCAACUGGGGAACUGCGUCUGAGACUGGCGGGCUUGAGUUCGGGAGGAGGGAUGCGGAAUUCCAGGUGUAGCGGUGAAAUGCGUAGAUAUCUGGAGGAACACCGGUGGCGAAGGCGGCAUCCUGGACCGACACUGACGCUGAGGAGCGAAAGCCAGGGGAGCAAACGGG